AAAAGAGAAAAAAAAAAAAAUCAUGGGGAGAGCUUUGUAGAUGUGGUUCUCUCUUGUUUCUUAUUCUCUCAACACCUUUCUUCUCUCUUUCCUUUUU
rnacentral:ribozyme from 1 species